ACCGGUACACUUCGCCCAGACCGCAAUUUUUGCGUUGUUUCGAUUCUAUUUCGCACCGGUCGAUACUAAAACCUUUCUUACUCUUCUUUAACUCACUUUUAACCCUUCCAACAUUAUUGGAACACUGAAUGGAACUUGCCCAACCAUUUCUUUCUCACACUUUAGUCAAUUUGGCUAAAAUUCGAUAUUUUCUACUAAGUUUCGGUUCUUUAUAUUCUCCACCUUUUAAAAUUAGUUUCGUCCGCGAAACUAACUUAACUAAGAUCUAGAUUCAUACCUUAAUCCAGAUUCU
rnacentral:lncRNA from 1 species